AUAUGUGAGGAAGAUAUGUUUGUGACAUCUGUCAUCCCAUUCAUCACCAUGGCUGAUUCAGAUGCUCUUGCUGGUUAGGCAGAUAUAAAUGUUUUCCCUCACUGCUGCAUGUACAUCCUUCCUAAAACUUUGAGCUCAGUCAAAGAAGUCGACUUUCCAUGAAUAGCACAUGACCAGUCUUUGGUUAAGAGUGCAAGAGAAGCUGCAUUCCCCUGCUAGAACCUCCAAACAAGUACUCAGGGGAUAUUUUAAAUCAAUACCUCUUCUAAAGCAGGAACAGUCUAUUUU
rnacentral:snRNA from 1 species